UACGUAGGUGGCAAGCGUUUAUCCGGAAUUAUUGGGCGUAAAGCGCGCGCAGGUGGUUUCUUAAGUCUGAUGUGAAAGCCCACGGCUCAACCGUGGAGGGUCAUUGGAAACCGGGAGACUUGAGUGCAGAAGAGGAAAGUGGAAUUCCAGUGUGUAAGCGGUGGAAAUGCGUGAGAUAUGGAGAACACCAGUGGCGAAGGCGG
rnacentral:rRNA from 1 species